UAAUGCUUUAUCAUUCAGUUGUGACAACCAAAUGAUUUAAAGUUUACAAGUAUAGUAGAAGACAUCUUGCUCAGAAGCAGAAAAUUCGGCCCGCUAUUCACCUCUGAGCUUCUUAGGCCUUUAUUUAUAAGUCAUAACAUAAUCUGUCUGAUCCGAAGUUUGUAUUUAGAAUGUAUGACUAAAUUCAAACGAGGGUCUAACUGUGGAAGUGGUGUGUAUAGGUUCAGGGAUAAGCGAUGAGUAAAUUCUUUUUGAUUGGUAAUGAAGGUGGGCUGUGGUAGAAAUGACGGUGAACUCAUACUCGAGAAGAAGAAUUGUAUUUGUUAAUCCCCUCCCCAUGGAUGGCGUGGUGGUCUUUGAGGUGGACGUAGCCUCCUUCUUGGUGGUGGAGGUGGAGGUGGACGCUUUGUGGGUGGUGGAGGAGGUGGAGGUGGGCUCUUCUUUGGUGGUGGAGGUGGAGGAGGGCUCUUUUUGGGUGGAGGUGGGAGUGGAGGCGAUUUUAUAUGAGGAGGAGGACGCGAUGGGCUCUUUUUCGGUGGAGGUGGUGGGGGAGCUGAUUUCUUAGGCGGGGGAGGUGGGGUGGGCUCCUCUUGGGUGGUGGAGGUGGAGGAGGACUCUUUUUUGGUGGAGGUGGCGGUGGAGGUGAUUUUUUAGGCGGAGGAGGUGGAAGUGGUUCUUUUCUAGGUGAUGGUGGUGGAGGCGGACUCUUUUUUGGCGGAGGUGGAGGUGGAGGGGGAGGUGAUUUCCUAGGUGCAGGAGGUGGGGGUGGGCUCUUUUUGGGUGGUGGAGGUGGAGGUGGCCUCUAUUUUGGCGGUGAAGGAGGUGGACGUUUUCUCUUUGGUGGUGGAUGUGGAGCAGGAGAGGGUGGUGGUGGUGAAGGCGGCGGACGAGAUGGUGGUGGGGGUGAUCUUCCGUUGGGUAAUGGCGGGAAAUGUGGAGGUCUGAUUAUUGGUGGGAAAGGUGGUUUGAUAGGCGGAAAAUGCAGCGAUGGCAAAUGCAGUGGUGGAAAGGACGAAAGCUGCGCAGAGCCUCCUGCAAAAAUUUCUAGAUUUUCUAACAACUUGAGAAUAUAAAACUUUUCUUAACAAAAUUCAUUCUCUUGGCUCAAAUUCAACCAUUAAAAAAACCGAGAAUCAAAGGUAAGUGAGCUCACAUAAGGAUUAUAAAGACAAGUAAAACCGAGAAUAUAAAACUUUUCUUAACAAAAUUCAUUCUCUUGGCUCAAAUUCAACCAUUAAAAAAACCGAGAAUCAAAGGUAAGUGAGCUCACAUAAGGAUUAUAAAGACUAGUAAAAUUUCGGGGUGUCACACUCUCUCCCCCUUAAAAGAAUUUGGUCCUCGAAAUUCUAACCUUUGCUCGCACAAAACUUGAUGCUAUAGAAUUUUCCUCCAACUCUCAAGUGACUUUCUCUUACUUAUAGUACUACUACAAACUUACCUAGAGAGAAAAUCUUACCACGUAAAGGCUACGCUAAUAUGCUAAGGAAGUUUAACAAAGAUAUCAAAAUGUGCAAGUUAAUAUAAACUUAAGAAUCUGAUGAAAAGAGAAAGCGAUAACUACAAAACAUGGUCACUACUUCAACUAGAUCUUGAAAUCAAACACAGUACACUGGCAAUAUGCUAUCUUCUCUAAUCGAACUGCCUUCCUUCAUUAUUAACCACAAAUAGAGAAUUCUUGUUCAAAUCCUUUUUCUCAAAAUCUCCAUACCUAAUUCCAAAACUCUCAAUCUCGACACAAUAAUAAUCAAAAUCAAGUUCCUAUGCGGUAUCGUAGAAGGGUAGAAAAUAGAAAAUAAAUAGUCAAGCAAGAGUUAAAACGAGUUCAAAAGAAAUACAUGUGUAACCAUAAUCAAAUCGUAACAAAAUCAUAGAAACACGGAACAAAGAUACACAGGUACGGGAGAAAUGAAACAAGCUACAAUACUAGCGCCUUAACGUUCACGACGUCCACAAACUAGCUAUCAUCCAUAAAAACCCUAGCCAGACAUGCACGAACCAGUCUAUGACGACACUCAUUGCUCCACUCUCCUUGAUCAGUUCAAUCUCAAGUCCAAUACUAGAAUCUUUCAUGCCUUGACGUUUACCAUCCAAAUUUAUCUCAAGUUCAAUCGAGAUAUAGACCCUUAUUCUAGUGUUCUCCACUUUUGGUACUCGGGUACAAGAAUCCGAAACUAGGAAAAUUCACAUCUCAGGCCGUACGCUUCCAAGUGCAAAUCAUCCAAGUUAAGAUUCCUACCUGACAUACAUAUCUAGAUUUUUCAAGUAUCAUGAUAAAGGUUUUACGCCUAUAACCUUCAUGAUUCACAACUUACGCUCAUGAAGAGCACUAAGUUCUUAAUACUUAUUCAUAUAAUUGGACCCAUAUCACCACUUGGCCCAAUCUCACCCAACGCAGAGACCAUGUGAAAUAGCUCUGAUACCAUCUGUGACGACCCCGCUUCCCCGCAAGGCGUACCCCGGGGUUUAGCGGACUGCCUGCCCAAUUCUUGUCAGGACUCACCCACUCACUUCAAAUAAAAAAGGUUACAACCUCAAGAGUAAAGAAAAUAACAGUUCCCAAACUUGGAACGUACAUGUACAUUCAUUUAUGUUCCAAACAUUCGUACAAUCCAAAUUAUAACAAAAGAUAUGAAUUCCAGAUACAUUCAACCCUAACCGAGUACUAGCGCGAGUACAAUCGUAAAAAUUUCAAAAAAAUUAGACUAUACUAGCCUGUACCAGUCUCACGCCCUUGGUCGUACCCCCUGUAAGGAAAAUAAAUUUAACAGAAUAGGGUGAGCUAAAGCUCAGUGAGGUUCCAAAUAGCAAGUUGACCAUUAUUUAAAAGUGUACGUAUCAAAGAAGUAAAGUAACGAGUAUAACAAGUCCAUAAAAGUGAGCAAUAACACUUCAAGUAGCAAAUCUCAAAAUGAGCGAGUCUAAAAUUCUUUUUUCUAAAAGAAACAAUAAUACUACAAAUAACAAUCAAAGUAUAAGGAUACAAAUGGCUCUCAUGAGCCAAAUUCCCAUUGUUUCACCAGAGCUUGAUCAAGUAGUAGUUGACACUCCGUCAACUUUCAAGUAAAGUAACCAAUCCAAUAGUGCUUUGCUUAACACCAACCUGUCCACCAUUCCCCCUUACUGGGUCCGAACACCAGCUUAACACUAGUGCUUUUCAAAAUCAUGUUCAGGUCCAACUCCUUGGUUGGAGUCCAAAUCUGCGAUAAAAUAUUAUUUAAGAAUGUAAAACUCUCUAGAGUUUGAAACAUAGGAGUUUCACUUCAAGAAAAUCAAAUAAAUGAAACCUGUUUAAGUAGUAGGCAUAUGGCUUAUCAAACUCUCGAAAAUUUAUGCUCGCUCUUUAAGUUUCAAUAAAAAAGUGAUUUAUACUUUGGAAGUCACACUUGGUAUGACAAAUCGAGAAAAUCGUAUUUUGAAGGGUCGCAACUUUCACUUUUUAAAGGGUACGAGUUUUCGCCAAAUUCAGCUUAUAUACCUCUUACUCAUGAAACUUGAAUACCAUAACACGCAAAGUUCGCUUUAACCUCGAGUCGUCGCUCAAGUCUCAAGUUUGCUUGCCUAACCCUUGAGUGAAAAUUUGGGUGGCAUGCCCUUUGUAUUUAUUUAUUUUCCAUCCAUUUAUGACUUCAUUAUUUUCCUCAACUUAGUCCAAAUUCACACAUAAGCAAUCUUAACACAAUAGCCCUUCAACUAGGUCAAUGUCAUCCAAAUACAAGGCAAUUCUAGCAAUGCAACCAUCAAAAUCAAAGCUGGAAACCAGUUUUAAAGACGAAUGGCUAAGUAGCAGGUUUGACGUCUUUUGGCGUUUUGGUCACAACUAAAGCUACGCUUAUCGGAUUGGGGCAAAUUUCAUGGAGAUUUGAAGCUAAGACAGAGACCUACAUUUUCUAUGAAGACAUCAACACCCAGUUCGUGCAUUUUCAAGGUCAAACUGUAAAUUCUCAGAGAAAAUAGAAAGCUGCCCAUAAAAUAGGGCAUUUGGAUAGUUAGGGGUAUUUUAGUCAUUUGACAAGCUACAGAGCUCCAAUUGAGCUGAAAUUUUGUAGGUAGAUAUUUAACUCCAUUCCCUACAACUUUCAUGUUUUGAUAAAGAACUGAUUCGGCAUUUAUCAUGGAUGAAUAUGUAGGUCACUUUGGUUCUAAAACAGGGUAGAAUUACUACUAAGUGCUGGAAUUCAACUUUUACUAUAAAAAUUCAUAGCCAAGCACUUCACCACAUUCAUAUCCUAACUCAAUACCAUCAAUUACUAGGUAAAAAAUCAUAAUCAAAGCUGAAAAUGCAAACCCUAGUUAAACAUUCCAUUAUAACUUGAAUUGAAUGUCUAAAAAUUUGCAAGUAAUGAAGAUCUUUUGAAUACAUAUAAAAACAUUGAAGAGUAAACGUGGCCAUCCACAAGUUGAAGGGAGAAAAAUGAUCUUUUAAUCUUAAUAUUGUUAUGAUUUUAUCAAUAUUGUUAUUGGUUUUGGUUAAGCACAAGUGUCAAUACCUCUGACGUGUCAAUGUCCAACAUUGCUCUGAUAACUGACUAUUCAUAAAAUUAAUGAAUUUUUAGGUUGAUAUUCUGAGUGCUUUAGAAUAAAAAUGGAGAAAAUUUAGAAUAAUCCAUUGAGAUAUCUAAAAAAAUUUAGCAAAAUCUGUUGAGAUUUGUUGCUUUCUCACAUUAUCCUUGCUGUAACACUUCAACUACUAUUCAAAAAUAUUUAGGAACACAAAAAAUGUUUUUUCUAUAGCUUUUUUAAUUACAAUUUUUUAUUCUUCUAUAAUUUCCAAAAAUGUUUUCAAAAUUGUGCCACCAGUAUUUGAAUUUUUCCAAAGUCUCAUUUUGUCAACUGCAUUAUUCGUUUCUUUUUGUAUGCAAAAUGGCAAAUUUGCAGCUACAAAUGUAGUGUACGGCUCAUGCGCUAUGAGCUCCAUCUUUUUUAAUUGGGAGUUUAGUGAGUCAAUUAAUAUGAAAAAUAAUACAAUGGACAAGAUAGUAUCUUGCAAAAGUUUACUGACUGGAGACUUACUUUCCCCUUUAUUACAUUAACUUUGGUGGUCUUAUGCACAAAGAACAUCCAAGAUUUUUUUUUUGUUUAAUCGCAUCUAAUGCUAGAAUAAGCAAAAUCCAGCACCUAAUGUGGUGUAGCCGGGCAAGCAAUCAAAAAGAAAGGGAGUUUAAAGAAGACAAAUCAGAGAAAAAAUAAUGGAUGGUAAGUCAAAAUUAUCUUUCUUCUAUUUUUUUUUUCCACAAACAAAAGGACCUGGCCCCACUUCAGGCCCCAACCCUUAUUCGGGUUGUUGGAUUACCCCAAAAUUAUCUUUCUUCUAUUGAACUAUACUUUUGUCCAAUUAAGAGAAAAGAGUUAAGUUACCAAGAAUUAUUCCAUGACCCAUUCAAAAUAGUGCAUCAAAAUUAAUUGUUUGGCAUCUGGAUGUUCGGCUUGAAAUGGAAACAGACUAUAUUCUACAUGCAAUGUUAGGCAAGAUACCAAAAAUAGGUUGGGCUAUAUACUUAAAGGUACAUAAGUAUGAGUUAUAUAUAAAAAAAAAAAAAAGAUCAACUAUUAACGCUCUGUUUGAUAACCCAAUUCAACACUUAAAUUUAAUGGAUUCAAAUCUUAACACAUCCAGACCGUUUGAUAACCAAAAAUUGAACAUCUGAAUUAAUUAAAUGACACUGAAUUUCCUACGCAAAACUUGCUCCCAAAAUUAAGUAAUAAGUUAUUCACUUAUCACUGAAUAUGAUAUGUACUUAAAUGUAUUAGUUUUAAUAUUUAACAAUCCAAUAAUUUAAUGAAUUCAGACUUUACAUUUCAGAUUUCAAACUUCAGUUUUUAAAUUUUAAUUUUAUCAAAAGCAUCCUAAAUCUUUGACACAAAAGAAGAAACAAGAAAAAACCUUGUGCUGGGAACUUUAAAUAUUGUCUAAAGUUGUAUGUAGAUUUGAUAAGCUCUUAAAGUCUCAAGAAGUGAUGCACGUUAGACUUUCAUAGCCUUGAGAAUUUUGUUUUGUGGUUUAUACACCAAAAAAAAAAAAGGUCUCACGGCUAUGAAAGUCUAGCGUCCAACACUUCUCUGAUCAUUGAAAGUUUGUAGUUACUUCGGAAAAGUGUAGAUGUUAAAAUGCUUAUGGACAAAAUGUCAUUAAAUGCUAUUUUGCAAGUUUACUCGGUUGUCUUGAUUUAAAAGUGAUAUAACUCUUCUUUUUUGCAAUUUUGUUUCAUGAUUUCAACGAACAAUUAUGCAUAAGUUGAUUUUCAAAAAUAUCAACAUCUACAAUAGGAAUUCACAAUUAGUAAGGCCUGAAACGACUGGAGAUUGCAUUGUGUGAAAAUGCUAACAUUUUGCAUAACCAAAUUUACAAGGAAAAAGGAAAAAAAAAAGAAGACAAAUUGAGAAUGGAGCACGUUAAAUUGCUAACGUGAGCUCAUAGUAUUUCAGCUUUUGCUAACGUGAGCUUUGUAGAUUUCACCAUUGUUGAGCAGGUUGGAGAAAUUUUCCCAGCUCUCUGUAUAUGUUGAUAUGAGGAGACAGAGAUGUGUUCCCUUUGCCAUUUUUCAUUCUAUAUAAUUGGUGUAAAGUUUGCUUUUACUGCAUUCAAGUCCUUCUUUCCUGUGUUUGUUUGAGAUCUCUUGAACCUCCCCUGAGGUAACCUUUGAUGAUACAGACUGAUUAAAAAAAAAAAAAAAAACAGAGAGAAAGCUAAAAGCUCUAACAAUGGGCAAGAAAAGCACCAAGACUAAGAAGCCAAAGAAUUGGAUCCUCAGAGAAAAGCCAUAACAAUGGCAAUCGCAAAACAUGGUGAAAAAUUUAUUCUAUUGUUUAUCAUGGAAUUAUGUGUCACAUAUAGGACACCCUUGAAAACUAUCUAGCCCAAAAAAUGAAAAAAAAAAUGCCGAGAUCAAAAUUGAUGUUGAUUUUUGGUGACCAGAACAAGUUCAAAUUGAAUUAUGAAUACAUAAUUGGUUUUGCAAUUUUAUAGUGGUUCGACACAUUGUUGCUUUUAAGUGGUCAACGUGACAGUUCUACUUGUUAUGCAUAUUUGCUUUUAAAAGGUCAACGUGACAAUUUUAGUUUUUUUUUAUGAAUGAAUUUGCUUCACGAUGGUAUAAAAACAGUUACCAUAGGGUAACAGGACUACAGGUUUCGUAUAACCUUUUAAAAUGCUGAAAGGUCUUGUACAAUUAUCAGAUUGGUUAUUUGUGAUUUUUAAUAGAGUUAGUUAUUGCACAAGAAAAAUUUUCCAUUGGUGGUUAUUUUAGGGACACCAUUGGGUCCUCGCAAUGCCAAUGAAUUUGGAUGUUCGCAAGUAUAGUCUUAAACAAGAAAGAGAAUAAAUUCCAGAUUUGAUAUGAUUUUUGGUUAGCAGCUAGCAUCAAGAUUCAAGAAUAAAUCAAUUCCAAAAACCAAAUUGCGAUACUGCCCGAACUUGACAUCUGGGAAGGAAAUCGUAUUCAAAUUGAUCGAUAUUCUUCUGCAAAAAUGCUUAAAAAACUUCCAUUGCUAGCAUAAUCAUGUGCGAAGAUAUUCAAUUUCCUGCCCAAGUCCUUUCUCUUGUCCAAAAUGGCCAACAAAUAAUUCACUGAUAUUCACCGAAACAUUGGCAUUAGUAAUACAACUAGUUUAUUUCCGUGCAUUUGCAUGGACACUUUUUUUAUGUUCUAUAAUAUUCAUCUUUUCGAACAAAAAUUGUUAUAAAAGAACUUAAAAUGCUAUUUUAUAAAAUUUAAUAUACUAGUUGUAUGACAAACAUUAAAAUUAAACAUAUUAAGUAUGGUUAAUUUAUAAUAAUUUAAUAUUAGUUUCAAUCAAAUAUUAUUUCAUAAUUCAAUUAUUUUGCUCUAAUUAACCGUGGCAAGUCAACAUAUGAGUGAAGGAGAUAUAUUAGGAAAUAAAUAUUAUUAAAUAUUUGAUUCUUUCAUGACUGAAAAGAAUUUCAAAAACAAAUCAAUAGACGAUGAAUUUAUCAUUUGCUUAAAUUAUUAAAAACUAAGAAAAGCAAUUUGGGAGAACUUUUACAACCCCAUGUUCAUAUGGAUAUGACUUUGCCCUAAAUCGAAUUUGAAUGGAAGGAGUAUAAAAUUAAUAGAAUAAUUUAGGAAAGAAUGGCUAUUUAUAAAAUUUAAAUGUAUCCUUUUUAAAAUUUGAAUAGACUUGUAUGAAUAACAUGCUAAAAUUGUUUAAUAUAGAUUCAUUAAAAAGUGAAAAUUGUCAAAACUUUAGAAUUAUAAAUAAACAAUCAAGUAUAAUAAUAGUGAUAGAGUAAAAAUAAUUGAAGAAAAUUAAGAAAAGAAAUUUACAAAAAAGAUAUAAUCAAUGUAAAAGUAUAUAAAGUAGUAAAUUAAUAUAUUGAAAUUUACUACAAAUAAAGAAGUAUAGGAUCAUAAAAAAAUAAAAUUUUGUCCAUAUUUUAGUAAUAGUAGUAAAUAAUCAAUAUAACUGCAUGUAAAAUAAGGAAUUAAUAAAUUGAAAUUUACUAUGAAUAAGAAAGUAUAGAAUAAAAGUUUUAAAGACGAAGGUGUAGAGAAAAACUAUCUACAUGAGCAUUAAUGCAGCAUAUUUUGUCCAAAUUUUAGUAAUAGCAUAAAAAAUUAAAUGAAUAUUAGGAAUAAAGAGCACAAUUGAAAAUGAUUAGCAAAAGAAAGAUGUGAGUUGAUUGAAAAAAAAUAAGAAGGGUACAAUUAAUAUAAAUUUAUAUAAGGUAGGUCAUUAAUAGAUUUAUUGAAAUUGACUAUAAAAAAAAAUCAUGCUAUAAAUGAAUUUAAAAAAUAAGAAAAUUAAUUAUUACCAAAAAAACAGAAAAAAAGAAUAAAAAAAUAAACAUUAAAGACAUCCACAUGGCGAAAAGAUAGAUGGUCCAUUUAGAAGAAGAUUAGAGUAACCAACUCAACAAUCUAUCCAAAAAUGAGCAUUAUUUUAUAAUAUACAUGCACAUAUAUUAUCAAUCCAUUUGGGGGACCUUGGAAGGGUGUUCAUAACAUUUAUUAAUAGAGCGUGCUAUAUGUCCAAAAUCUAUCACCCUAUUAAUUGGUAAUCUCCAAUUUGAAAUUUAAGAUUAUUUUAAGUACCCUAGACGGGAUCAAAUAUGUACCCGUCCUGUGAAAAGCAAAAUGAUUAUAAAAAGGACAUUCCUCCAAUCCAGUUUGAGGUUGAGCUAGCCAUCACGUGCUUGUUUCGAUAAUCAUGAUUAGCAAUUUAGCAUAAAGUGUUUAGUUGCAUUUAAAAAAAAAAAACAAAGGACGAUGACAAAAUCUAUUCAUGCAGAAUUCACAACUAAUCAUAAUUAAAAAUAGUAUUUAUUCAACUUGUAACAGUAACGUACAAUAACACAUAAUGCUUUAUCAUUCAGUUGUGACAACCAAAUGAUUUAAAGUUUACAAGAAUAGUAGACGUCUUGCUCACAAGCUGAAAAUUCGGCCCACUACUCACCUCUGAGCUUCUUAGGCCUUUAUUUAUAAGUUAUAACAUAAUCUGUCUGAUCCGAAGUUUGUAUUUAGAAUGUAUGACUAAAUUCAAAUGACGGUCUAACUCUGGAAGUGGUGUGUUUAGGUGCAGGGAUAAGCGAUGAGUAAAUUCUUUUUGGGUGAUAAUGAAGGUAGGUUGUGGUAGAAAUGACGGUGAACUCAUAUUCGAGAAGAGGAAUUGUAUUUGUUAAUCCCCUCCCCUUGGAUGGCGUGGUGGUCUUCUAGGUGGAGGUAGAGGUGGGCACCUUCUGCGUGGCGGAGGAGGUGGAGGUGAUCUCUUUGGUGGUGGAGGUGGAGGGGGGCUCUUUUUCGGCGGAGGUGGUGGUGGAGGUGAUUUCUUAGGUGGUGGAGGUGGAGGUGGACACUUUUUUGGUGGAGGUGGUGGUGGAGGUGAUUUUUUAGGUGGGGGAGGUGGUCUGCUCUUUCUUGGUGGAGGGGGAGGGGGAGGUGAUUUCUUAGGUGGGGGAGGUGGAGGUGGGCUCUUUUUAUGUGGCGGAGGAGGUGGAUGUUUUCUCUUUGGUGGUGGAGGUGGAGGGGAGGGUGGUGGUGGUGAAGGUGGCGGAGGAGAUGGUGGCGGAGGUGAUGGUGGUGGGGGUGAUCUUCUGUUGGGUAAUGGCGGGAAAUGUGGAGGUCUGAUUAUUGGUGGUAAUGGUUUAAUGGGCGGUGGCAAACGCCGCGGUGGCGAGGGAAUUAUUUUAGCAUUGGCAUUUGCCACAAAGAUGGCGAAAAUUGCCAGGAGUUUCCACAGCGAAGCUAUGUGGCUCGCCAUGGUUGCUAAAAAGAUGUAUUUGCUGUCGACUGACUCACUUGUGGAGUUGAUGGUUCUGUGAUCGAUGGUUUAUAUAGAUGAUGAUUGGAAAUGACACCUUGCUGGUGAAUGGGGGAGGAAUAUGCAAGCUGCGUAGCUACAAAAUAUAGGCACGCAUGCAAAUUAAUCAAGUGCUAAAUCUGGCUUUGGGGUUUGGUAAGCCUACCAUAGACUAGAUGGUAAAACGGAAUUGAUCCGUACCAACUUGAAUAUUAAUUAGUUUCGUUUUAAAAGUACGUGCCAAACUUGAAUUAAUUGCUCUUGUUUUAGAAGUUAGCCUUAUUUGGCUUAAACACUAUGCAUUACAAAAAUAGGAGUGAAACUUUGGAAACACAUAAAAUAUCACAAAUCUUAGAUUAGGGAGUAUAUGUUUUAUUAAAACUUUGCGAAACGUAAACAAUUCAUUGAAUCUUUUUUAAAAAAAUGUUAUUGACCUCCAAAAGUUGACAAUAGAAAAUACCGAAACUGGAAGAUUAUAAUGAAAAGAGAGAUUUAACGCUUUUGUUAUUGUAAUGUUAUUAUACUGAAAUAUCGAUUUUCUUUUAAUGUUGGUGAACGAUCUCAUUUUAUUUCUCAUUAAAUUACCCAAACAUGUCCUUAAGUGCAACAAAAUCUUCAAAAUAAAGCCCUAUUUCCAUUUUCUACAUUGUUUUCCAGCUUAACGUUUGUUCAAGUCUGUUCCUUUUACUACGGCCACUUCUUUUUUUUCUUGUUUUACGUUUGGUCAUCGUUACUAAACGUUGUCUGUAUUUACAUCAAAUAGAGAGUAUAAAUCCAAAUAUAAAAGUGAAUAUUGCCAGUAGCGUAGAUUAAGUUCUUAUAUUAGCCACUGCUCCCCUCUAUUAAUUCAAUUUUCACGCUAAUUUCGGAAUAGUUAAUACACACACAUACACACUAUAUAUGAGUGCGUGUAUGCAGAUGUGUGUGUAUAUGUACACAUAUAUGUAUUUAUGUAUAUGUAUAAAGAAAUCACUGAAUCUUCUAGACAGGACGAUGAAUUCUAUAAAAACUAGUGUAGGAUUCUUAAUCCUGUAUUGAUCUUUACAAUGUCCCUAAAAUCUAAAUAUUGUGCAAAGAAAAUAAAGAUAAAAUCUUAUUGCUGCCAAAAAAAAUGAAAUCUUAUAAAAAGAAGGAUGUGGAAUUUCAUGAUUACUAAAUUGGGAUCGAUCCUUCAUAUUGAUCCUGUUUAACUCUAAUGCUGAACCGAAAGGCGCUUAUGGGAUUCAUUUUCUGGAUUUAGGUGGGCUAAGAAGAUACACAAAGUAUAGAGGAGCAGAGAUAAUAAAUGUCCAGCUUUUUAUGUUGUGCAUGAAGCCGGGUAAUACAGGGUUAUCUACCAUGCUAGGCACAGGGCCUCUUUUUAGUUAGAAAACAAACAUCACUAAUAAGGAAAAAGGCAUUCACUUUUUGCUGAGAAUUAAACAAAAAAAAAAAUCCCCACAUUUUUUAGAGUUCUGAUUUCGCGGAGUUGAAUGUAGAUAAGGGGUAAGUGUCAAUGCCGUAAAAGUCUCAAUCUCCAACACUACUCUGAUCAUGAAUAUUCAUUGAAGUUAUAUAUGAUGAGACCUUGAAGAAUAAAAUUAGUGGUAACAUAGAUUAAUACGUCCACUGCUUGUAGAAUAAAAAUGGAGAAAAUUUAGAACAAUCCAUUGAGAUUUCUUGAAGUUUAGCAACAAAUAAUCCAUUGAGUGCCAUCCGACCUCAGUCCUCCAGUGUCUAAAAUUGGCAUUCAAAAACUUAGAAGUCUUGAUUUCGAAUUUGCUUUCCCCUUUUCCAUUCCACAAUAAUUUAGAAAAAAAUUCCAAAAAAUAAUGUUAAAACCCUAGAAAUUAGAGGUACUGAAUUCCAAUCCCCCGUCACCCUCUCACGUCUGGAAUCCCAAUCAUCUCACGGUUAAAAAAGAAAUCCAUUGAGUUUUUUUUUUUACAUUUUCUAUAUAUUUUCUCAAACACUUCCACUCUUAUUCAAAAAUAUUUAAGAACAAAAAAAAAAUCGUUUGCGCUAUUAGUUUUUUAUUAACAUUUCUUUAUUCUUCUUUAAUUUCCAAAAAAGUUUUCAAACCUGUUUGCUGCCGGUACUUGAGCUUUUUCAAAGUUUCAUUUGUCUCACGUACUAUACUAUUUUCUUUUUGUAUGUGAAUGUAGCGCACAGCUCACUUGCAAUUUCCAUCUCUUUUAGCCGGCUUUUUUGGUGUUCAGUGAGUAAAUUAACAUGAAAAACAAUAUAACAAGACGAAAGAGUAUUUUGGAAAAAUUUUGUGACCUGUGACCGAUUUUACCCUUUAUUAUAUAAAUUUUGGCGGUCUUAUGCAAAGAGGAUAUGCGAGAGUAGAAUAAACAGUCCCCACCACUUAAUUUAUAGUGUAGUUGGGCAAAAAAUUGGAUAGAAAGAGAGUUUGUAAGAAGACAAAUAAAAGAAAUGAGGAGUGGAUUGGUAACUCAAAUUUUUCUUUCUUCUAACUGAAUUUUUUUAUCUCUUUAAUAAAGAAAGGCGAGUUAAGUCACCUUAAAAAAAAAAAAAAAAAAAGAGUUAAGCCACCUAUAAUUGUUCCAUUAGGUCAUAAAAAAAAUGCAUCAAAAUCAAUAAUUUGGCAUUUAGAUGCUAAGCUUGAAAUCAAAACGGACUGUCUACAGUAGUAAGCGAUGUUAGGCAAGAUACCGCUAAUAGGUUGGGCUAUGUACUAAAAAUAUAUACGUAUGUAUACAAAACAGAUCAAGCAUUAUCCACAUUUUAGUAAUGGUAAUAAAUAAUCAAUAUAAGUGUAUAUAAAGUAGAAAAUUAAUAAAUUGAAAUUUACAAUAAAUAAGAAAGUAUAGACUAAUAGAAACAAAUGAAAGCUUUUCCAAAUUUUAGUAGUGGUAAUAAAUUAUCAAUUUAAUAAUAGUGAUAGAGAAUGCAGUUGUAGGGAAUUAAAAUACGAAAGAUAUUGAAAAAAUAAAUUAAGUAAUAAAUUAUAAAAACAUAUAUAAAAUAGGUAAUUGAUAGAUUUUUUAUAUUUACUAUAAAUAAGGGAUAAAAAGGACUGUAAUUUAUUGUUAUAAAAUAUAGAUACAGAAUAAAAUCCACCUAGAAACAUAAGCAAACACUUUUUUUUUUCACAAAGCAAAAUGAUAAAAUUUUUAUUUCACAAAAUAUAGAUAAUUUACGAACUUACCAAAAUGGGAAGUGGAUAGCAAAUUAAUAUAUAUGUCUACGUGUUAUAUAUAUAUAUAUGUAUGUAUAUGUAUUUGUGUGUGAAUCUUCUAAAGAUAAAGGUGCAGAGAAAAACUAUCUACGUGAGCAUUAAUGCAGUAUUUUUUGUCCAAAUUUUAGUAAUAGUAAUAAAAAAAUCAAACCAACAUUAGGAAUAAAGAGUGUAAUUGAAAAUGAUUAGGAAAGGAAAGAUAUGAGUUGAUUGACAGAAAAAUAGAGAGGAUAAAUUUAUAUAAAUUUAUGUAAGGUGGGUCAUUAAUAAGAAACUGACUAUAAAUAAGAAAUCAUGCUACGAAUGAAUUAAAAAAAGGAAAUUAAUUAUUAACAAAAAAUAGAAAAAGAAUGAAAGAUCACAAACAUUAAUGACGUCCACAUGGCGAAAAGAUAGAUAGUCCACUCGCAAGAUUAAAGUAAUCAACUUAGCAACCUAUCAAAAUCAAAACUGAAAACUGUUUUAUAAUACAUAUACAUAAACAUACAUACACACAUACACAUACAUACAUACAUACAUACAUACAUAUGUAGACACCAAAAUUUUUAUGAAUCAUCUUAUUAUUUAUUUUUGUUUAUCUCUACUUUCUAGUUUUUAAGAAAAAUCAUUUUAAUCUUGUUUGAUUUUUAUUUGAUUGUUUUUGUAAAAAAAAAAUCUGGGAUCCACGCACGUGGGAUCUCUUUCUUCUCCUACAUUUUGUACCAGAAACCAGAACAAGAGGUAGUUGGCAUUUUUGGAGCGAAUUUUGUUUCGAUUUUUCUAUCUUUCCUUUGUUUCCUAAGCAUUAUCAGUACAAUGCCAUCUCACCCAUCAAGAUUCAUCAAGAAAAUUCUGGAAGAAAGCCAUCAAAUGCCUCAAAAAACCUGCAGCAAAAAAAAAAGGGUUUCAUCCGCACCUUUGAACAUAAGGUUUUGGCAACUCUACUUCAUAUAAAAGGGCUAAGGAGGCAUUUCUGAACGGAAGGAGAGAGGAAAAAGAGCGGUGGGGAAACAGAAAGAAAGAGAAAUGGGAGACUGGGAGAGAGAGCAGAAAAUUUCUUAAAAAUCUUGAGCCAGGGUUGAGCAUUAUGCCUUUUUCUUGACCAAAAUCCGAUCUUGAUUCUAGUCAUUUAGGUGUUUUUUUUUUUUUUCAUUUUGCACCAUCUGCCUUAGUUGAGAGACAAAUUUUGUUCAGAAAACCUUUAGAGAAAACGCCUCCAAGAUUGUUGAAUUCGGGCUUGAAGUCACUGCAUCGUCAGCCCUUGAAGUCAAUUUCUAGGAGUUUUCAACUUCACCUUCCUGCACUUGGAUUCAUUUUUCUUCGAGGUUCAUCGUACCUACUCGUCAUAGGUAGUUCAUUUUACUCCUUUCCUCUUCAUAUAAGCAUAGAUCCUCACCCAAUCUAUCAAAAUUUUACUGCAUUUGUUCUUCCUUUCUCUUCUUUUGAUGUUCUUCUCCUCUUUUGUAAACCAUUAGCUCAGGUUUCUAUUAUAAUCUUAUGUUAAAUAUGGUAUUUGGGUAAUAAAGGUGGGUGUUGAUGAUGAGGUUGCAUGACCUUAUGUGUUUUGAAUCCAAAUUUUUUUUGGAAAUCGUUUGGGGACGGUUGCUGCGUUUGAUUGGCUGCAAAUGUUGCAACAAAGCUUCGAACAGCUUGCAUGGAGAAAAAUCCAAAAUUGCAAUUUGGCCCACCGACUUUUAAACAAUUGCGUUAAGGCCCAAAAUUUUGGAAAAAAUGAAUCAAAAUUUUCCUUUUCAAACCUUGAUCCUCUUUUCAUAUUUUAUGUAUGUUUUGAGAAAAUUAUUUUUGGGUUUUAGAGUGUGAUUAAGGUCUAAAUAAUUUUGUUGAAUUUGUUUUCCUAAAAGGACAUGUUCUUUUCUUCCUUGGGUUUAGGAAAAUAGUUUAAGAGUUGGGUUAGGGUUAUUUUGUUGGGCUUGGGGAGUGAGUUUGUUUUUAUUUUUCUUUGGGUUAUGAUAUGGGCUUUAUGACCAGGCCUAACGUUUUUUGGUUGGAUCAAAAAAUGGGCUAGGUGGUCCUUUUAUCUGGAUUUUUCUUUGGGCCAAGGUGGUUUUCGCCCCAAGAAGAAGAAAAAAAUGGCCCGUUGGCCUUUCCUUUUAAGAAACUAGAGACAGAUUUUUCAGUUUAGUCACUGAUCUUUCAAAUUAUUUUAAUGUAACCUUAACAACUUUGGAUUUCUUUCAAUUAGGUCCUUAAUUUAAAUUUAAUUUGGUCCCUAAACUUUAUCUUUUAUUUACUUUUGACCCCUAAUCUUUGUAAGAAUUAUAAUUUGAUUUCAAAAACUUUUAAAGUUUUUGUAAUUGGGUCCCUGACAGCUUGAUUUCUUAAGUAUAAUUUGUUUAUCUUCAUUAAUUGUUAAUCAUGCCUCAUUUAAAUGCAUUUAAUUAGUAAAUUUUAGGGAUUUUAUAUUUAUUUGUAUUCCUUUAUAGUAAUAAAGCAAAUUUGUUAUAUGUUUACACUUUCUUUUAAAUUGUUAAUUAAAUUGGUGUCUUGAAUAUUGUGUUGGUUUUGGAGUAUAAAUAAGGCAAAUUCCACCUCAUUUAACUACUACUUCAAGAGAGGUACUUUCUAUUAUUAUUUUAAAUCUUUUUAUGUGCUCCUAUGUAUUUUUUAUCUGUGAUUGCAUGUUUUAAGUGCUUUUUCUUGUAUUUACUCAUUUAAAAUUUUUAUUUAUUAUAUUUAAUUUUUGAUGAUUAUUUGGAGGGCAUUUAAAUGCCAAAUUGUAAUAGAUAAAUGCUGAAAAAUGUAUUUAGUUAGGCUAUGUAAUAGAUAGAUUUUAUUUUUGCCAAAAAACAUAAUUAGUUAGAUGAAUGUAAUAGUUACAUUAUUAUUUUUCAAAUUCCCUCCUUAGAUUGUAGUUAGGACCCCAAAUAUAAUAGUUAGGUGUUUAUAUGCUUUUAUUUGCUUGUGUGCUUGCAUGCUUAUGUGCUUAUAUGUUUAUUUAUUUUUUUAGGAUUUUACAUCUAAAUAUCAUGUUUAAGUGUUAUGUGCUCUAUGUGCUUUAUGUGUUUAUUUGAUUUAAUAAUAUUUUAUAUGUUUUAUUUAUUUAUAAUCAGUGCAUGACGACAUCACACUAAUCCAAUGCUAGUUGUGACCUUUCUCCCCAUUUUCUUACUAGUCCAAUAUUAGUGAGGACUUGUAGGAAUAGGUUAGUCCAAUGGUAGACCCUUUAGUCCGUUUUCGCGCUAAAUUCAUACAUUGUGUGGCAUUUAUUACAUUUCAUGCAUUUUUCCUAUUUUUAGGUUAUUUUCAUUUUAUGAUAUUUUUCCUACUUUUAUUCCCUUACCCUCUAUAUGUUUGGACCAUAUCAUAUAAAAUUAUAUUUCACUUUAAGAAAUUAGAAAUAGAUUAGUCCAUUUGUUUGACUAGAUUGAAAGAGUCACCCUUCAAAUAUGGGAAACGAACGAGUAUGACUUCUUAACCUUAACACGCUCUUAUUCCCUUUAUAAAAAGAAAAAUUGAGUCACGAAUUUUAACAUCCUGUACCUGUUAUGUUGCAUUACCCCUUUUCUAGAUCAUGUAUAUUUAUCUAUAUAUUAUAAUUUCUUUUUGAGUCUUAUCUUUUGUAUUUUUCGUGACCUCUUCUAAGAAUAAUUCUUGGGCAUCACAAUUAAUGUGAUUUAUACCAAUUAAAUUUUAAAGAGACAUUUCGACCUUCCCGAUAUCCUUUUAGUCUAGAUUUGCAUCCAUGUAGAAACAUCCAAAUGUGAUAAGUUUUAUAAAUUAGAUUAGGAAAAUUUUUGACUAAAUCUCACAAUUAGUCUUGGUUAGAUUGAAAGGGUACCUUAAGUUUGAAUCUAUCAAAUUUUUGUCUUUCCUUUCUUCAACUGUAACUCCCGAACUUUUUUCUUUUGUUUUCAAAGAUCUGGAGUCGUCUAAAAGGGAUUCUAUUUGUUUAUUUAAAAAAUAUAUUUUAGUUAAUUUGGUACACCUAAACUCAAUAUCAAAUGAUGACUCUACUUUUUUUUUUUCUAAAAAUACUUUUUAAAACUAUUAUUUUGGGUACAAACCGUUGCAUUUUCUAAAUCUCAUUUUAGGCCCUUCUUUUUCCUUUAUUUUCUAAAAAUAUAAAUUCAUUUUUUCAACACUAAAUUUAUUUUUCAAAAAAUAAGGGCAUGACAUUUGAUGACUCCACUGGAAAUUUUAGUGAAUCCAAGCACUUGGUUUAAUUGAUUUUUUUCUUCUAAUCUUUUUACAUAUCACAUUGGGGUGUUUUAGAUUGCAUUUUUCUUUUUCUUCUUCUUUUUCUUUUAUGGGAUCAAUGGCCCUUCACCUUUUAGUCUGAAGGUUUGGGAGUGUGAAACUUUAUUGAGUGUAGAUGCAUUAACGAGUUCAAUUUCAUGCAUCUAUGUUAGAAAUCUCCUAGAAUAGAGUCGGCCUUACCCUAUUAGAAAUAUUAGACACAAGGGGGGAGAUUCUACCCCUGUUUCUCUUCUUUAUCUUUUAUUCCUGUAUCAUUUUAUUGCUCCAACGUGUUAUAUGAACUAACCUCUGUUUGUUUUCUCUUCUCUUGCAUUCAUAAACUUUAAAAAUAAGAGUUCUGACAUGGUACUCGUUUAGGACAGACCGCCUUUUAUAAAAAACAUGUUUAAAUUUUAGUUAUUGCAUUAAUAAUACGUAUAUAUUGCAUAUCAUUUUAGUCUUACCCCCGACAUUUAAAUGGGACACCUUUAGGUCAUAUUCCAAUUAUCGUAUUUUAUAUUUACUUGUUUUAAUAAACUGUCAUCAUGCAUCAACUAUAGAGAGAAUGCCGCAUAAGGGAUCCCAUGAUAGAAAUAAGCCAUCUUGUGUCUCAAAUAUCUAAUCCAGUGAGACUCGUAUGUUUAUAAUUUUAUACUUCCUAAGGGGUAAAAUCCCAAAAUAAGGUAUAAAAAAGUGAAUUUUUUCCAAAUAGUUCCUUGUAGAGUGCUAGAUCAAAUAUCUCGAGAACUAAUCGAUUGAAAAAAUAAUGUCGCAUGAGAUGAAAAAAUUGUUCAAGUAUGUGGGGUACCUACCAAGUCUUCUGAACAUGAUGUUUAAUGUUGCAAUCAUCCAAACUCUACUUGAGUAUUGGGAUCCAGAGGGUUCGAUUUUUUGGUUUGGUGAAUGUGAACUGACAUUGACUUUGAAAAAAAUAGAAGAACUAUUGCAAGUACCAAAAAAGGUCAUCCUAUUGUGUACCCAAUUGGUAGAACGAGAGAGUAGUUUUGUAGAUUUUUGGAAUUGAGGCAAAAUAGCAUGGACCGACAUCCGGAUGCAAAAUCAUACCCGUUAGAGUUCCUAUAUAAGCGAUUUAGGCAAAGGGAAUCCUAUGAACAGUGCCACACUGAUUUCUUCAUAAGGAACAAUAGGAAGAGAAGCGUGCUCAAGCAUUUGGAUUAGUUUUGAUCAAUUUGUUAUUGUUCCCGCAAAGGCAUGGAAAGGUCACUUUCUCAACUAUCAACAUGAUUCAGAACCUCUUUUGGGAGUCAACUGAAAGACACCCACUUUGGUACCGGUUAUCAUAGCUGACAUUUUCACUACCUUACUAAAUAUCAAAAGAAAAAGGGGUUCUUCUAUGCAUCAAAUUUAAUACUUCAAAUAUGGGUAAUGGAGCAUCUAGCGAAAAGGACGCUCAAACCCUUGGGAUGUUGUCUCCCAACAGAGAAUUGGAUUGAAUCACACCGAGAAAGGGUCAAAAUGUAUUACCGAAUGACAUCUCCAAGUCAGUUUAUUUAAGAGUUUGAUAAUUUGACACCGGAUAAAGUACAAUGAAUUUUGGAUUGGACAAAAGUUAGGUAUUCGACAUUCAAAACUACUCAACAUAGUUUUAUUCCUCUGGCAGGCACCAAUGGAUUGGUUUCAUAUAUUCCACAACAAGUCAUGAGGCAAUUUGGCUAUCCACAAAGAGUUUCGAUGAUACAAGAAAUUGAGAAUAUCAGAUUCAACACAAUUGCUGAGAGUCGAAGCAUGGCACUAGAAGUUUGGGGGAAUUUUCAUGAUUUAGAAAACCUGUACUUGGAUCAAGUGAACAAAUUAAAACCUAAUAUCAUUUCAGAAUAUGAUAAAUGGAUCAAGCUGAAAGUGGAACGAGAAAGAAGGAAGUCACAAUCUUCUCCCACCAGUCUUGAAGAGCAAAUACAGAAGUUAAGGAAGGAGUUAGAGAAUUAUUAAUUGCAAAAUUUAAUGACCGAUCAUGCUUUGAAAGAUGUCAGAUCGUAAUUAAAGAAAGAGACAAGAAAAAUUGAAAAGUUAGAGAGAGCAUUAGAUGCAUUUGAUAAAAUUCGAAAAGAAAUUUGAAAAUUUAGUGUAGGAAUCUCUAGGGAGUCUCAACAUAUUAGUUUAGCAAGGUAUGGAAAUUUUUAAAAAUAGUCAGCUAAACCAUCAAUGUAACUGUAAAGAAUGAUUAAAUUUAUCAAUGUUUUAUGAGAUUUUCUAUUCUGAUUUUUACAUUCACCUACAAAUUUGAUAUUGAAAUUUUACCUCGAAGGAGUUGCAUCAUAUUAGACCAAUCCUUGGCAUAAAAAGAGUUUCUCUAUAGGACAUGCAUCUAAAAUUAUUCAAAUAUUUACUAAUCCAUGUCUUUUUCUUUUUUUUUUCUUUUGAACAAAUUACAGCAGUAGAAAAUGUACUUCUGAGCCGAUUUCUUUUCCUUAUUUUUAGGUACUUGCAAACAUAGCUACCUUAGGAGCCCCAUCAUUACGCGGUCCCAUAGCAAAGUCUUGAGAAAUCGUGAAAAAAUGAGUUUUCAUCCGUAGCUGUCGGACAAAUCUGCAAUAAUUCCAUCAUUAGACGCUGCAAAUCUGAGGGUUCAAUCGACUGAAAUGUUGAAUAGAUUCAAUGAGUUAAGUGCAGCAAUGGCAGCGCAAAAGCGCAUGAUCAAUCAAUUGUUCUCAAACAACACUAGCAGUGUCCAAAAUGACCAUAUACUCAUUGACGAUAAUCAACAUUAGUUAGAAAACUAACCACCUCACAUGUCACAUAGUCAAAUCACUUUUGUCCCACCUUUUAUAAGUCCACUUGGAGGUGCCUUUACUUACCUCAUCCCCAGUUUAUCACAUACAUAUCAAAAUAAUAUUUUUGUCAACCCAACUAACAAUCAAAUUUCUCAAAAUUACCCACAAAUCAACUUGAAUAUCCCAUCUAACUCUCAAAGAUCCCAUCAUCCCAUCAUAGAGUCAUUCAUGUUGGAUACUACCUUUCAAGGAAGGGCAGAAAUAGACGAACACUCUACUUCAAUUAAUAAGAAUUUACUGAAAAGAUUGGAUCGAUUUGAUGAAUUCAUGAAAAGAAGUCAGAGAUUGAAGCAUGGAAGCUUGGACUAUGAUGAACUGUGUCUCUUUCCGGAUAUGUAGUUGUCUCUAAGUUUUAAAACUCCUAAAUGUAGUAAGUAUAAUGGAACUGAAAAUCUCAAAAUACAUCUCUAAAUGUUUGUGAACAAGUUAGGGAAGCUAGUGGAUGAUGAAAACCUACCGGUGCUUUUGUUUCCUGAAAGUUUGGAGGGCGACGCUUUGGACUGGUAUUCCAAUUUAAAGAUUGAAGAGAUGAAAACUUAGAUGGAUUUGUCUACAACUUUUGUGAGGCAAUAUGAGUACAACUGUGAACUUGAGCCGACAAGAACAACGCUCGAAGGAACUAUGAGAAAAUCAUCAGAAGAUCAUAAGACAUAUGCUAAACGUUGAAAGAAAUUGAUUGUCAAGGUUGAACCCCCUAUGACUGAGGAGGAGAUUAUCCACACAUUCAUUAAAGCACAUGACCCACUUUACUUUGAAGAGAUUUUUCGUAUGACUAGGUAUUCAAUUGCUGCUAUUGUCAACAAAUUUGAAGAAUUUGAUAAGUUUGUCAAAGAAGAAAACAUAGUUAACAUGUCAACGUUAAAAAUGCAAUUGGAAGCCCUACAGAGCCAAAAUAAUCCUGGAAAGAAGCCUCAAUUCAAGAAAAAAUGAGAGACUACCUUUGUAUGUGAUCAGGGCCCCUCAACUAGAUCCAGAUUUUAAAAUCACCCCACCUACUCAUCUCCCUAUCCAUACUAUCCAAAUCCCCAACCUGUUUAUCACACUACCAUCAACCAUUCUCGCCCCCAACCAAACUAUCAAGCACACCUGCAUUACCUUUUUAGAUUUUUUGAACUAAACUGGCAAAUUCGACCCCAACCCUCUUAUAAUCCAAGGCCUACUCUAUCAAAUAACCAAAUCUAUAACCAUGCUCAAACUAGUAGAUCCCAAAUCCAAAACGAGUUUCAAACCUUCACUAAUUUAAGCUGCUUUUCCGAUCAAUUGUAUGAACAACUUAAAGCUACUAGCAAAGUCAGCAUUGUGCCUCCUAAAAUAUAGCUUAGCAGUGUUCCUAUCGGUUAUGAUUCUCAAAUCAUUUGCGCCUAUCAUUCUAGGAGUUCUGGUUACUCUACUAUCAAUUGUUGGGCAUUGAAACACAAAAUUCAAGACAUGAUUGAUGCCGAAAAUAUAGUUUUGAGGAGGAGAGGUGAAUAAGAGACAAAUGUCAGCAAGAAUCCUCUUGCUCAACAUAAGAGCACUGUGAGGGCUAUUACCACUGACCAGAAGUUUGAAAAACCUGCCCAAUAUAUUAUAGACGAGAAUGAUGUAAUUCAAAUAAUUGAGAAGUCAUUUAUAUUGGAAGAUGAACUUUUCGAAACUAGUGAAAAUCCUUUCAUCCUAGACUUGUCGGAACUUGUGAUACUUGAAUUUUUUGAACAAUCACUUGUUCACAACUUACAAGAAGUACCAUGGGAUUAUAAUGAACCUACCCUAGUGAUUGGGAAUGUAGGGGUGUCAACGGUGGAGGUGGCUGCCGUCACUGGAUUUGAAAAAAUCGUGGAUAAUUCUGAAGUUUCUGUCCAACCAAAGGUGAAGAAGAAUGCUUUACCGUUGAAGCCAUCGGUGAUUGAGGAGAAUGCACUGAAUUUUCUCAAGUUACUGACGAGGAGCGAGUACAAGGCCAUAGAACAAUUGGACAAAAUAUCUGCCCAAGUCUCUAUGCUGGACUUACUUUUAACUUUCAAAUUACAUAGGGAGACACUGUUUAGAGUUUUGAAUGAGACUCAAAUACUAAGAAAUAUUUCAAUCGAUAAAUUCGCUAACAAUAUGGAGAAUGUUUUGGUUUUCAACUACAUAACUUUUUCUGAUGAGGAUCUGACUUUGAAGGGGAUCAAGCAUAAUAAGGCGUUGUAUAUUUUAAUAUGGUAUAAUAGAAAGUUGGUGUCCAGAGUUCUGGUAGAUAAUGGAUUUGUUUUGAAUAUUUGCCCCUGAAAUACUCUUACAAAGCUUGGAUUUCUUGAUGCCAGAUUGCGAUCAUCUGCGACAAUGGUGAGAGGAUUUGAUGGUGUAAUAAGGGAAUCAAUGGGUAAGGUUGAUUUGGUGUUGGAAAUAGGACCUGCCAAAUUUCAAGUGGUUUGCCAAGUUAUGGACUCUUCAAGUGUUUACAACAUCCUAUUUGGAUGACCUUGGAUCUACACUUCUAGUGUUGUUCUAUCUUCUCUCUAUCAAAAGGUGAAAUUCAUUAUGAAUGAUCAACUAAUCAAUGUGUUCACUGAAGAUGAUUACACAAUGAUCGUCAAUUCUGCAUCAAAUGAGGAGAAUAGUAAAAAAACUUUAGUUUCUUCUCAUCAUAUUGCUGACAUUGUUUCAGUAGGGUGGAUGUCUAAAGAAAAUUCAUUGAUGAAAAUGGGUUUACUGGAAGCUAGUGCCAUGAUGGCCAAGAAAAUGAUCCGAGAAGGGUAUGAAAUAGGUAAAGGUUUGGGGCAGAAUCUGCAAGGUAUCUUGGAACCGAUAGAGAUUUUGAGGAAGAAAGAUACAUUUGGAUUGGAAUUUCAACCAACCACUAAGGAUAAAAAUGAGAUGCAAGCUGGUAAGAAAGUGAACAAGGAAGAAAAGCAGAUCGUCAUGAGGAGAACCCGAUUGAGGAGAUUGAAGUGGGUCUAUCUCAACUGUUCAUUGGAGCCACUUGCGAGAAAGAGCCGCUAGAAGAUAUGGAGUUCCAAUAGUCCCUGAAAGAGCUAUAUAAAAUUGGACUACCGACUAUCUUCCCUCUCGAAAGGAAUUUUUAUGGAUAAAAAUAAAAUCAUUUGAAUCUUCAAAUAUCACCAUUUUGUAAUUCAAUAAUUGCAAACUCGAUAUAUUUCACAAAUUUAAAAUUAUAGAAUUCGAAAUUCAAAGUGAGAGUGAUAGCGAGUAGGAACCAGUCUUUUUUAAAGAUUCUUGAACAAUAUGAAGAGAAAUCCAAACCGAAUUUAGUAGAGAUAGAAAUCAUUAACAUUGGCACUAAAGCGGAGGUUAAAGAAAUUAAAAUUAGUGUACAUUUGAAUAAGAAGUAGAGAAAAGAGAUGAUCAAAUUCUUAACUAUAUUCCAAGACAUAUUUGCAUGGUCGUAUGAUGAUAUGCCUAGGAUUUCAAUAGAUAUAGUGGUACACAGACAGCCAACUAACCCAAAAUUUUCACUAGUAAAGCAAAAAUCGUACAAAUUUAAACCAAAUGUAAGUCUCAAAAUUAAGGAGCAGAUCGAUAAACAGUUCAAUGCCAGAAUUACCAUAGUACCUCAUUAUUGCAUUUGGCUUUCAAAUCCCAUACCUGUUUCGAAGAAGAGUGGAGAAGUGCAGGUCUGUGUUGAUUAUAGGGAUUUCAAUAAAGUCAAUCCAAAGGAUGAUUUUGCUCUACCUAAUAUUCACAUUCUUUUAGAUAACACUGCUGGACAUGAAAUUGAAUCUUUUGAUGAUUAUUUCACUAGAUAUCAUCAGAUUUUGAUAGCAGAAGAAGACAGAGAGAAGACUGGUUUCAUCAUUUCAUGGGGAACAUUCUGCUAUCAGAUAAUGUUGUUCGGGUUGAAAAAUACUGGAGUCACUUAUCAAUGAACCAUAAUCACUUUGUUCCAUGAUAUGAUUCACAAGGAGAUGGAGGUUUAAGUGGGCAAUAUUAUCAUUAAAUCCAAGAAAGUUGAAGACCAUCUGGUUGAUUUAAAGAAAUUAUCUAAAAGGUUGAGAAGAUACAGUUUAAAGUUGAAUCUUACAAAAUGUGCUUUUAAAACUUUCGUCAGUAAAUUGUUAGAGUUUAUUGUCAGUAAGAAGGGAAUGGAGAUUGAUCCUACAAAGAUCAAGGUAAUCAAUUUUUCGAGAGAUGUCCAUACCAAUAACUCAGAAAGAUGUGAAAAUUUUCCUAGGAAAUAUCAAUUUUAUCGACAGGUUCAUUACUCAGUUGAUGUCUACAUGUGAGACUUUGUUCAAACUAUUAAAGAAAAACGCGCCAAUGCACUAGAAUGAAAAAUGUCAAUAGGCUUUUGAUAAAAUUAAGGAUUAUUUGUUGAACCCUCCAGUUUUAGUGCAACCCAAGCCAGGUCGACUUCUAAUUAUGUAUCUGUCCAUGCUGGAUGAGGUUGUGAGAUGUGUUUUGGGACAAUAUGAUGAUUCGAAAAAAAAAGAGCAAACCAUCUAUUACCUUAGUAAGAAGUUCACCACAUAUGGGACCAAUUAUUCAUUUCUUAAGAGGAGUUGUUGUGCUUUAGUUUGGGCAGUUCAGAAGUUGAGGCACUACUUGCUCAUUUACAUUACUUAUCUCAUUUUUCGUUCCGACCCUCUGAAAUAUUUGUUGAAAAUGUCGAUGUCAACAGUACAUAUGGUGAAAUGGCAGAUGAUCUUUUUGAAAUUUGAUAUUAUUUUUACUAUGCAAAAGGUAAUUAAGUGGCAAGCCAUAACGGAUCAUUUGGCCGAAAAUUUGAGAGAAGAUGAUUACCAGCCAUUGUAUACAUAUUUUUUUGAUGAUGAGAUUUUAUCCAUUUAUGUAUCGAAGACUAUGAAUGAACAAUACCUUGGCUGGAGGCUGUUCUUUGAUGGUGCUUCAAACUUUUUUGGGACCGAAAUCGGAGCUGUUCUAGUGUCACCUGAGAGAAACCAUUACCCGGCCGCUGCUAAAUUGCGAUUUUCUUGCACCAAUAAUAUGGUUGAGUAUGAAACUUGUAUUUUUUGACUGAAAAUGGCAUUGAAAAUAAAGAUUUAUGAUUUAAUAGUGUUUAGUGAUUUUGACCUACUUGUGCAUCAAACACUUAAGCAAUGGGUGACUCGAGAUUUAAAAAUUAUGCCAUAUCAUUAUUGUCUGCUCAGCUUGGCUGAUAAGUUUAAAAAUUUGAAAUUCAGGCAUAUUCCUUGCACUCGCAAUGUUUUUACUGAUGUUCUGGCCACCUUAUCUUCCAUGAUUCGACAUCCGAAUGAGCUGGUAAUUGAGCCUAUACAAAUUCAACUUCAAAAAAAAAUCGGCGCAUUGUCUAGUUGCGGAAAAUGCGUCUGAUAGUCGUCCCUGGUAUAAUGAUAUCAAAGAAUUUAUAAAGACAAGAUCUUACCCUCCGCCUGUUGAUUCGGUUGCUAAAAGUUUUUUGCGCAGAAUGGCAUCAAAAUUCUUCUUAAGUGGAGAAGUGUUAUAUAAAAAAAAUAUCAUAUUUGGACCUUCUGAGAUGCAUUAAUAGAGAUGAAGCUGAUUAUAUGAUGAAAGAAGUACACAAUGGUGUAUGCAAACCAUACUUGAAUGGACGCUUAUUGGCAAAAAAGAUCAUGAGAACGGGCUAUUUUUGGCUCACUAUCGAGCAUGACUGUGUAGAUUUUAUCAAAAAAUGUGCUAAGUGUCAAAUAUAUGCUGAUGUCAUACAUGCUCUUUCUACAGAAUUACAUAGUAUGACUGCUCGUUGGCCAUACUCAAUGUGAAAAAUGGAUGUGAUUAAAGCUAUUGAUCCCCCAAUCUUGAAUGGGCAUCGAUUUAUCUUGAUGGCGAUUGAGUAUUUUAUCAAAUAGGUUGAAACAACUUCUUACAAGAAUGUAACCAAGAAAGUAGUGGCCAAUUUUCUGAGAGACCACAUUAUUUAUCGUUUUGGAUGUAGGAAAUAUUGAUUACUAACAAUGUGAGAAACUUUAAUAAUGACAUGAUAGAUGAAUUAUGUGAACAAUUCAAGAUCAAGUACUAAAAUUCUACUAUUAAUAGGGCUCAGAUUAAUGGAGCUGUGGAAGCCGUGAAAAAAACGUGAAGAAGAUCAUUUGCAAGAUGAGAGAAAGAUACCGAGAUUGGCACAAAAAGCUACCUUAUGUAUUAUUAACUUAUCGGACUGCAAUCAGGACUUUUAUUGGGGUAACGUCUUACUCUCUUAUGUAUGGAAUGUAAAUUGUAUUACCCCCAGAAGUUGAGAUCCUAUCAUUGUGCAUUUUAAUGAAAAUUUAGUUGGAGGAAGCUAAAUGGAUUAAGCAGUGACAUGAGUAGCUAUUUCUGAUUGAUGAAAAGCGAUUAAAUACUGUUUGUCAUGGACAAUGCUAUCAAAGGCAAAUGACUCAUGCUUACAACACAGAUCAAAUCUCACCUAUUUGAAGAAGGGGAUAAGGUACCGAAAUGAAUUCUUCCUAUUCAAGAUGAAGCCAAAGGAAAAUAUGUCUCAAAUUAGCAGGGACAUUUCAUUGUUAAGAAGGUAUUGCCCUGAGGAGCACUCAUUCUCAUGAAAAUGGACGGACGGAUUUUCCCUCAGCCAAUUAAUUCAGAUAUGUGCAAGAAAUUUUCAUCUGAUUAUAUAAGUUUUCUUUUUGAGAUACUGCUUAGGGUGGAUUAAAAGGUGGGCCAUCUUCUUUUCCCUUUAAACAUUUUACCCAUAGUUUUUUCUUUUGAACCUCCAAAAUGAUCUGCUUCUUCGUUUGAUAGCCCCCUAAAGAUCACAAACCCUACACUGCGACAGGUUUUGUUUUUCGUUUGUUGUAAAAAAAGUAAAGUGAAAGUACACAGAAAACAAAGGAAGAACAUGAAAAAACCCAAUCAAAAUUCAAACUAGGGCAAUUUUUAACUUUAUAGCCCUAUAUUGGGACAAAUUUUAUAGAAUGCGGUCCUUAGAUUUUUAAAACGCCUCAAAAGAUCUACUUUCGAGUCUUAACAUUUUUAACAUCUCACCUAACUCUGUUACAAAAGUCAAAAAACUCCCGACUUCCAUCCUUGAUAGUAUUUCUAAAAGAAAAUUUCUUAAUCAAAUGACAAAUGAUGUAAAUACACUUUCACCAAUUUUUGCAAAGGAAGUAUUUUCUCAUUGAUGCCAUCAAUCGUGAAACAUAUUUUGGAAUUGAUAAAAGCCAUUGUUAAAAACUGUUUAUUAGGUAAAAACUCAAAAGGACGCCUUUUUCAAAAAAAGAAGAAGAAAAAGCAAAAAAGAAAAAGCAAAAAAUAAUAAUGAAAAUAAUAAAGGAAAAGAAAAUAAAUGGAGAGGGACAAUCUUAGUGAAAACCCGAAAAAAGGCACUAAGGUAGGGUUUUGAAGUACAAAAAGAGCCAUGAAUGGAAAAUAGAUGGUCAAUUGUUGAAUAACUGGUGACUAUGUUCGUUUGGAUUUUUCUUCAAAUUUGUAUAUGAGUCUCCAAGUCACUUUUCGUAAACUUGAUAAGAGUUAUUUUCUCGUUGAAAAUCAUUUUUACUCUAUUUUUGUGUUGUUGCAUGCAAUAAUCUUGUUUAAAACUUUUGCGUGCUUUCUAUUGAAUUCGGCCAAGAGACAAUCCCCGUAAUUUAUUGUAAGGAGCGUAUAUCUAUGUAUAUCUCAUGGUGUAAAAAAGGUUGGCUGAGUACAAAUAUUAACAAAUCAGGAGCGAGUUGCACAACAUUUCUAAACCGCACAGUUCCUCGACAUCAAAAGGCUCAUGUUUACAUGAUUUUCAAGGCUUGAGGGACUGCACGGAGGUGGCAUUAUAUUUCAUCGCUGUUGUUUUCAUUUUCUUUUGUAAGAUUGGAUUGCGCAUGCUUUCUUGAAUGAAGAGAAAGAACAACACUUAUUUAGCUGAAUCCAAUCUACACUAAGGCAAAUUUUCGUAGAGCUGAUAUCUGAUUUUAUAAGUGAGUUCAAUAUUUGUUUAGAAAAAUAGCAAAAAUCUCUUCACAUCUUUAUUUAAUUGGAGUGCAUUUUUAUUUCUCCGUUUAUUUGUUGGGUUUGAGUUUUAUUCCACUAACCAUUUAUUUGUUAGGUUUGGAUUUUAUCCCAUUAAUCAUUUAUUUUGUUGAAUUUGGGUUUUAUCCCACUAACGAUUUAUUUUGUUGGGUUUGGAUUUCAUCGCACCAACCUGUUAUUUUAUUGGAUUUAGAUUUUAUCCCACAAUUUAUUUAUUUGUUAGGUUUGGAUUUUAUCCCAACGACCAUUUAUUUUUUGGAUUUGAAUUUUAUCCUACCAACUAUUUAUUUUGUUGGAUUUUGAUUUUAUCCCACCAGCCCUUUAUUUGUUAGAUUUAGGUUUUAUGUCAUCAACCGUUUAUUUUAUUGGGUUUGAGUUUUAUCCCACCAACUGUUUAUUUUGUUAGAUUUUAUCCCACUAACCGUUUAUUUUAUUGUGUUUGAGCUUUGUCCCACAAGUCAUUUAUUUGUUGGAUUUGAAUUUUAUCCCACCAACUAUUUAUUUAUUAGGUUUGGAUUUUAUCCCACCAACCAUUAUUUUGUUGGAUUUUGAUGUUAUUCCACCAACUGUUUAUUUUGUUGGAUUUGGAUUUUAUCCUAUCAACCUGUUAUUUUGUUGGGUUUGAAUUUUAUCUCACCAAUCGUUUACUUUAUUGGGUUUGAAUUGUAUCCCAAUUUUGUUGGAUUUGAAUUUUAUCUUACAAACUAUUAUUUUGUUGGGUUUGGAUUUUAUCCAUCAACCGUUUAUUUGUUCAAUUCGGAUUUUAUCCCACCAACCGUUUAUUUUGUUGGGCUUGAAUUUGGAUUUUAUCUCACCAAUCGUUUAUUUUGUUGGAUUUGAAUUUUAUCCCACCAGCCAUUUAUUUUGUUAUGUUUGGAUUUUAUCUCACCAACCAUUUAUUUGUUGAGUUCGAAUUUUAUCCUACUAACCAUUUAUUUGAUUGGGUUUGAAUUUUAUCUCACCAACCGUUUAUUUUGAUUGAAUUUGAAUUUUAUUCCACCAACUGUUUGUUUUGUUGGUUUUGGAUUUUAUCUCACCAACCUUUCAUUUUGUUGGGUUUGGAUUUACCCCACAAAUUAUUUAUUUUGUUGGAUUUGAAUUUUAUCCUACUACUUUGUUAGAUUUUACUAGUUGUUUGGAUUUGAAUUGUAUCUCACCGAUCAAUCUAGUUUUAAAAUAAUUUUACAAAUUUUUGCUAGUUGUUUGGGACUAGGUUAGAUCACACCGAUUAUGCUUACUAAUUCCAAUUUUGUUUAAAAAUUCACUUUAUUUGUCGAUUCAGUUGCAGUUGAAGCAAACGGGUAAGCAAUUUGGUAUCUACGUUUUUGUCUUAAAUUUCUGCAAAACUCAAGCAACGAAGGGUAAAUUGUAGAUACUAAAAUUUUUAUAAAUCAUCUUAUUAUUUAUUUUUGUUUAUCUCUAUUUUUACUUUUUAAGAAAUUAUUUUUAUCUCGUUUGAUUUUUAUUUGACUGUUUUCGUAAAAAACAAAAAAAUCUGGGAUUCCCGUGCGGGAUCUUCUUCUUCUCCUACAUUUUUGUACCAGAAACCAGUACAAGAGGCAGCUGGCAUUUUUGGAGCGAAUUUUGUUUCAAUUUUUCUGCCUUUCCUUUUUUUCCUAAGCAUUAUUAGUACAAUGCCAUCUCACCCACUCACCCAUCAAGAUUCAUCAAGAAAAUUCUGGAAGAAAGCCAUCAAACAAAAAACCUGUAGCAAAAAAAGGGUUUCAUCCGCACCUUUGAAAAUAGGGUUUUGGCAACUCUACUUAAUAAAAGGGUUAAGAAGGCAUUUCUUAAUGGAAGGAGAAGGGAAAAAGAGCAGCAGAGAAAUAGAAAGAGAGAGAAAGGGGAGAACGGGAGAGAGCAAAAAAGGAGGAGAGCAGAAAAUUUCUUAAAAAUCUUGAACUAGGGUUGAGCGUUCUGCCUUCUUCUGGACCAAAAUCCGAUCUCGAUUCUAGUCAUUUAGGUGUUGUUUUUCAUUCUGCACCACCUACAUUAGUUGUGAGACAAAUUUUGUUCAAAAAACCUUCAGGAGAAAAUGCCUCUAAGAUUGUUGAAUUCGAGGUUGAAGUUACUGCAUCGUCAAUCCUUGAAGUCAGUUUCAGGGAGCUUUUAGCUUCACCUUCCUACACUUGGAUUCAUUUUUCUUCGAGAUUCACUGUAUCUACUCGUCAAAGGUAGUUCAUUUUACUCAUUUCCUCUUCAUAUAAGCAUAGAUCCUCACCCAAUCUGUCAAAAUGUUGCUGCACUUGUUCUUCCUUUCUCUUCUUUUGAUGUUUUUCUUUUCUGUUUUGUAAACCAUUAGCUCAGGUUUUUGUUAUAAUCUUGUGUUAAAUAUGCUAUUUGGGUAAUAAAGUUGGGUGUUGAUGAUGAGGUUGCAUAACGUUAUGUGUUUUGAAUCCACAUUUUUUUGGAAAUCAUUUGGGGAUGAUUGCUGCAUUUGAUGGGUUGCAACAGCUUGCAUGGAGAAAAAUCUGAAAUUGCAAUUUGGCCCCCUGACUUUUGAACAAUUGCGUUAAGGACCAAAAAUUUGUGAAAAAUGAAUCAAAAUUUUCCUUUUCAAACCUUGAUCCUCUUUUGCAUAUUUUAUGUGUGUUUUGAGUAAAUUAUUUCUGGGGUUUAGGAUGUGAUUAAGGAUUAAAUAAAUUUUUUGAAUUUAUUUUCCUAAAAAGGCAUGUUCUUUUCUUCUUUGGGUUUAUGAAAAUAGAGUGAGUUUGAAUUUAUUUUUCUUUGGGUUAUGGCAUGGACUUUGUGACCAAAGCCCAAUAUUUUCUGGUUGGAUCCGAAAAUGGGCUUGCUCGUCCUUUUCUCUGGAUUUUCUUUGGACCAAGGUGGUUUUCGGCCCAAGAAGAAGAAAAAAAAUGGCCCGUUGGCAUUUCCAUUGACGGGUUUUUAUUAUACGUACAAGUUAAAAUCCGAUUUACACCCGUUUGACUGCAAGUAUACAGGUCAAAUUAGUAGUUUAGGGCGUGUAUUGGGUCGAUCCCACGAGAAAGAUUGAACAAUUACCGGUGUUACUAAAACUUCUCUAUUAUUUAGACUAUCAAUGAAUUAUAACAAGUAAAACCUACUGAACUUAUACAAGAAAAUAAUAAUUGAAGCUCCUUAGGUUAUGGUAUCCCUAACUACUCAUGCAAGUGCUAUAUUUGGACCACUGAUUACUACUAUCUUGGCUAGCUAUGGUGUAAUUUUCAUAUGCAUAUGAAUUCUACUUUCGUAGUGAAUCAAUUAUACUCAUAAAUAAUCCAUACGUAUUCUCAUGGUUAUGAGAUUAGUUACAAGUUCAUUUCUUCAAUGAAAUUACAUGAAAUGAAUCAUUAAAACCAUAUAGAUGUACCUUUACUCUCUUGAGUGUACUCUCCAUGUUUAGCACUUCUUGAAUUAGUGUUAAAUCUCAAUUUUCAUUGCAGAUAUAACACCUUAGAUAAUCACAAUCAAUGGUACCAGAUUAAUUAUAAUUCAAAGAGGUAAAGUGCUAAAUAGCUUGCUCAAAAUAAUGGCAUCAAACAGCCAAAUAAUAACACUAGUAAUCAUAGAAAAUUCAAUCAAACCCAAGGCAUAAACUUUAGAAACACAUAAUAACAUAUAAAUCCAUAACUUGUAUAUUAACUAAACUUAGAAUUAAGUACAAAAGAUAAAAAGUUGGAAAGAAAAAGUAACCCUUGUCACAUGAGCUCUUUCCUUGCCUUCUUCAUCUCCUUCUUCAUCUUUGCCUAGCUAAAAAACAAGAAGGAUGAACUACUACUCUCUACUAAACUAAUCUAACACUCACAAGAUGUAAGAACUACAUUUCUGCACUCCCAAGUUUUCUCCCGUCUGUCCCUCCCUCAAUCUUGCAAGUUUUUGGCUAUAUAAAGGUAAAAGGUGGUCAAGGAAUGAGGUUUACACCUCCCUUUUAUAGCUGCAAAAUAUUUGUCACAUGUCUAGCAUUACAUGUGACUUAUUGGAGGUGAAAUCAAGUUGUCCGCAUAAAGAGCAGCGUUUUCUUACCACAAUCCGGCCAAGUUCCGGCUGGAUUGCUACAGUGACCUUUUUGUGCAAUUUCUGUUCAAUUUCCAGCUCUGCUCAGAUUUUGCCUCAACUUCAACUGAAUUUUUCUUGAUGAUAGAAGCUGAUUUAACUCUUGACCAAAACAUAAAACUUGUAGCUCUUUAAGUUAGCUUUCCAAUGCCUCAAGAAUCACCUCAUUUGGAUUUGUGUAGGAUAAGAAAUGUCUGAAAUACCCUUGACUGCUCAAUGUCCUGUUUCAGUUUCGACUAAUAGAAAUUAGCUACUGUAAUUCGGCUUUUUGACCUAGAAAACCUUUAAACUGGAUUUCGAUGUCUUCACCAAAGUUGUAGGUCUAUCUCUUAUCUUCAAAUUGAUUUAAGAAUCAUCUCAAUCUGAUCACUGUAACUCAAGUUAUAGCCGAAAUACUAAAAUAUGUCAAAACUGUCAAAAAUGCACAAAAUGCAAGUAAAAAGUGAUAAAUACCUCAUUUAAUCACUUAAGAACAUUUUUCCUAAAUUAUAGCCAAAAUGAUUCAUUUUCUUUCAAUAAUAUAAUGAAAAUGACUAAAAAUAACAUAAAAUAUCAUUCAAAUAUAACGUAAAUUAGUCACUUAUCAUCCAUUUAAGAAAUUAGAGAUGGAUUUUGCAGUUUAGUCCCUAGUCUUUCAAGUAAUUUUACUGUGACCUUAUAAACUUUAGAUUUCUUUCAAUUAGGUUCUUAAUUUAAUUACAAUUCGGUCCCUAAACUUUAUCUUUUAUUUAAUUUUGACCCCUGGUCUUUGUAAGAAUUAUAAUUUGACCUUAAAAACUUUUUAUUUUUGCAUUUGGGUCCCUAACAGGUUGAUUUCUUAAGUAUAAUUUGUCCAUCUUUUUUAAUUAUUAAUCAUCACUCAUUUAAAUGCAUUUAAUUAGUAAAUUUUAGGCAUUUUAUGUUUAUUUAUAUUUCUUCAUAGUAAUAAAGUGAAUUUGUUAUAUGUUUACACUUUCUUUUAAAUUGUCAAUUAAAUUGGUACAUUGACUAUUUUGUUAGUUGUGGAGUAUAAAUAGGGUAAAUUUCAAGGGAGUUAUUUUCUAUUAUUAUUUUAAAUCUUUUUAUGUGUUCUUAUGUAUUUUUUAUGUGUGAUUGCAUGGUUUGAGUGCUUUUUCUUGUAUUUACUCAUUUUAUUCAUAUUUAAUUUUUAUUUAUUAUAUUUAAUUUUUGAUGAUUAUUUGGAGGGCAUUUAAAUGUCAAAUUGUAAUAGAUAGAUGUUCAAGAAAUGUAUUUAGCUAGACUAUGUAAUAGAUAGAUUUUAUUUUUGCCAAAAAAUGUAAUUAGUUAGAUGAAUGUAAUAGUUAGGUUAUUAUUUUUCAAAUUCCCUCCUUAAAUUGUAGUUAGGGUUGCAAAUGUAAUAGUUAAGUCUUUAUAUGCGUUUAUUUACUUGUGUGCUUGCAUGCUUGUGUGCUUAUGUGUUUAUUCACUUUCUUUAGAAUUUUGCAUCUGGAUAUCAUGCCUAAGUGUUAUGUGCUCUAUGUGUUUAUUUGAUUUAAUUAUGCUUUAUAUGUUUUAUUUAUUUAUAAUCAAUGCAUGACUACACCACACUAGUCCAACGCUAGUUGUGACUUUUCUCCCUGUUUUUUCACUAGUUCAAUGCUAGUGAGGACUUGUAAGAAUGGGUUAGUCUAAUGCUAGGCCCUUUAAGCCAUUUACGCGCUAGAUUCAUACCUUCUAUGACAUUUAUUGCAUUUCAUGCAUUUUCCCUAUCUUUAGGUUAUUUUCAUUUGUAUGAUAUUUUCCCUAUUAUUAUUUCCUUACCCUUUAUAUGUUUGGACCAUAUCAUUUAAAUUGCAUUUCACUUUAGGAAAUUAGAAAUAGGUUAGUCCAGUUACUUGACUAGGUCAAAAGAAUCACUCAUCAAAUAUGAAAAACAAAUGAGCAUGGCUUUUUAGUUUUAGCACGCUCUUAUUCCCUCUAUAAAAAGGAAAAUUGAGUCACGAAUUUUAACAUCCUGUACCCAUUAUGUUACAUUCUUCUUUUCUAGGUCAUAUAUAUUUAUUUAUAUAUUAUAAUUUUUUUAGUCCAAUUUUUGCCGUGACCUCUUCUAAGAAUCAUUUUUGAACAUCACAAUUAAUGUGAUUUAUACAAAUUAAAUUUUGAAGAGACAUUUCGACCCUCCCAAUAUCCUUUAAGUCUUGAUUUGCAUCAAUGUAGAAACAUUUAAAUGUGAUAAGUUUUAUAAGUUAGAUUAGGAAAAUUUUUAGCUAAAUCUCGCAAUUAACCUUAGUUAGGUUGAAAGGGUGUCUUAGGUUUGAACCUAUCAAAUUUUUGCCUUCUCUUUCUUCAACCGUGACUCCCGAACUCUUUUCUUUUAUUUUCAAAGACCUUGAGUCAUCUAAAAGGAGUUUUAUUUGUUUAUUUAAAAAUAUUUUGGAUGAUUUGGUACACCUAAAUUCAAUACCAAGUGGCGACUCUUUAUUUAUUUAUUUAUUUCUAAAAACUCUUUUUUAGACUAUCAUUUUGGAUUCAAUCCGUCGCAUUUUCUAAGUCCCAUUUUAGGCUCUUCUUUUUCCUUUAUUUUUUAAAAACAUAAAUUCAUUUUUUCAGCACUAAAUUUAUUUUUCAAAAAAUGAGGGCGCGACAACAUACAUACACAGAUAUAUAUAUAAAUAGAGAGAGAGAGAGAGAGAGAGAGAGAGAGAUUAUCAGUCCAUCUAUGGCUCCAUGGAAGGGAGUUCAUAACAUUUAUUAAUAGAGCAAGCUAUAUAUCUAAAAUCUGUCACCCUAUUAAUUAGUAAUCUCUACUUUGAAUUUUAAGAUUAUCUUACGUACCCUGGAGGGAAUCAAAUAUAUACACGACGUCUUGUGAAAAGUAAAAUGAUUAUAGAAAAACACAUUCCUCCAAUCCAGUUUGAGGUUAAGCCAUCACGUGCUUGUUCUAAUAAUCAUGAUUGGCAAUUUAGCAUAAAGUGUUAAGUUCGAUUGAAAAUAAAGAAAAACCAAAGGACGAUGACGAAAUCUAUUCAUGCGGAAUUCACAACUAAUCAUAAUAAAAAAAAGUAGUAUUUAUUCAACUUGUAACAGUAACGUACAAUAACACAUAAUGCUUUAUCAUUCAGUUGUGACAACCAAAUGAUUCAAAGUUUACAAGAAUAGUAGACGUCUUGCUCACAAGCUGAAAAUUCGGCCCACUACUCACCUCUGAGCUUCUUAGGCCUUUAUUUAUAAGUUAUAACAUAAUCUGUCUGAUCCGAAGUUUGUAUUUACAAUGUAUGACUAAAUUCAAAUGACGGUCUAACUCUAGAAGUGGUGUGUUUAGGUGCAGGGAUAAGCGAUGAGUAAAUUCUUUUGGGUGAUAAUGAAGGUAGGUUGUGGUAGAAAUGACGGUGAACUCAUAUUCGAGAAGAGGAAUUGUAUUUGUUAAUCCCCUCCCCUAGGAUG
rnacentral:lncRNA from 1 species